UACGGAGGGGGCUAGCGUUGUUCGGAAUUACUGGGCGUAAAGCGCGCGUAGGCGGCUUUGUGAGUCAGGGGUGAAAUCCCGGGGGCUCAACCUCGGAACUGCCUUUGAUACUGCAAGUCUUGAGUCCGGAAGAGGUGAGUGGAAUUCCUGAGUGUAGAGGUGAAAUUCGUAGAUAUUAGGAAGAACACCAGUGGCGAAGGCGGCUCACUGGUCCGGUACUGACGCUGAGGUGCGAAAGCGUGGGGAGCAACAGG
rnacentral:rRNA from 1 species